rnacentral:rRNA from 1 species
GAUCAUUACACAAAUAUGAAGGCGGGCUGGAACCUCUCGGGGUUACAGCCUUGCUGAAUUAUUCACCCUUGUCUUUUGCGUACUUCUUGUUUCCUUGGUGGGUUCGCCCACCACUAGGACAAACAUAAACCUUUUGUAAUUGCAAUCAGCGUCAGUAACAAAUUAAUAAUUACAACUUUCAACAACGGAUCUCUUGGUUCUGGCAUCGAUGAAGAACGCAGCGAAAUGCGAUAAGUAGUGUGAAUUGCAGAAUUCAGUGAAUCAUCGAAUCUUUGAACGCACAUUGCGCCCUUUGGUAUUCCAAAGGGCAUGCCUGUUCGAGCGUCAUUUGUACCCUCAAGCUUUGCUUGGUGUUGGGCGUCUUGUCUCUAGCUUUGCUGGAGACUCGCCUUAAAGUAAUUGGCAGCCGGCCUACUGGUUUCGGAGCGCAGCACAAGUCGCACUCUCUAUCAGCAAAGGUCUAGCAUCCAUUAAGCCUUUUUUUCAACUUUUGACCUCGGAUCAGGUAGGGAUACCCGCUGAACUUAAGCAUAUCAAUAAGCGGAGGAAAAGAAACCAACAGGGAUUGCCCUAGUAACGGCGAGUGAAGCGGCAACAGCUCAAAUUUGAAAUCUGGCUCUUUUAGAGUCCGAGUUGUAAUUUGCAGAGGGCGCUUUGGCUUUGGCAGCGGUCCAAGUUCCUUGGAACAGGACGUCACAGAGGGUGAGAAUCCCGUACGUGGUCGCUGGCUAUUGCCGUGUAAAGCCCCUUCGACGAGUCGAGUUGUUUGGGAAUGCAGCUCUAAAUGGGAGGUACAUUUCUUCUAAAGCUAAAUAUUGGCCAGAGACCGAUAGCGCACAAGUAGAGUGAUCGAAAGAUGAAAAGCACUUUGGAAAGAGAGUCAAACAGCACGUGAAAUUGUUGAAAGGGAAGCGCUUGCAGCCAGACUUGCUUACAGUUGCUCAUCCGGGUUUCUACCCGGUGCACUCUUCUGUAGGCAGGCCAGCAUCAGUUUGGGCGGUAGGAUAAAGGUCUCUGUCACGUACCUCCUUUCGGGGAGGCCUUAUAGGGGAGACGACAUACUACCAGCCUGG